rnacentral:rRNA from 1 species
AUACGGGGGGGGCAAGCGUUAUUCGGAAUUACUGGGUGUAAAGGGCGCGUAGGCGGUCGGAUAGGUCAGAUGUGAAAUCCCUCGGCUCACCCGAGGAACUGCGUUUGAUACCAUUCGACUUGAGUACAGGAGAGGUGGGCGGAAUUCCAGGUGUAGCGGUGAAAUGCGUAGAUAUCUGGAAGAACACCGGUGGCGAAGGCGGCUCACUGGACUGUCACUGACGCUGAAGCGCGAAAGCGUGGGGAGCGAACGGGAUUAGAUACCCCGGUAGUCCACGCUGUAAACGUUGGGUACUUGGUGUUGGGGGUUUGAGUCCCUCAGUGCCGUAGCAAACGCGUUAAGUACCCCACCUGGGGAGUACGGUCGCAAGGCUGAA